rnacentral:misc_RNA from 1 species
UCUCCGUAGGUGAACCUGCGGAGGGAUCAUUACAGAGUUCAUGCCCUCACGGGUAGAUCUCCUACCCUGUGUUAUUAUACUUUGUUGCUUUGGCAGGCCGCCCGCGUGGGCUACCGGCUCCAGCUGGUAAGUGCCUGCCAGAGGACCCCAAACUCUGAAUAUUUUAUUGUCUGAGUACUAUAUAAUAGUUUAAAACUUUCAACAACGGAUCUCUUGGUUCUG